CCUACGGGCGGCAGCAGUGAGGAAUAUUGGUCAAUGGCCGGAAGGCUGAACCAGCCAUGCCGCGUGAAGGUCAGUGCCCUAUGGGCGUUAAACUUCUUUUGUGCGGGAGCAAUAAUGGUCACGUGUGGCCAGACGAGAGUACCGUACGAAUAAGCAUCGGCUAACUCCGUGCCAGCAGCCGCGGUAAUACGGGGGAUGCAAGCGUUUUCCGGAUUUAUUGGGUUUAAAGGGUGCGUAGGCUGUGAGGUAAGUCAGCGGUGAAAUGCCCCCGCUCAACGGGGUGAAGUGCCAUUGAUACUGCCUGGCUGGAAUGCGGAUGCCGUGGGAGGAAUGUGUGGUGUAGCGGUGAAAUGCAUAGAUAUCACACAGAACACCGAUUGCGAAGGCAUCUCACGAAUCCGCGAUUGACGCUGAUGCACGAAAGCGUGGGUAUCAAACAGGAUUAGAUACCCUAGUAGUC
rnacentral:rRNA from 1 species